ensembl:lncRNA
AGUCAGCAGCAGAAAGACUCAACAAACCGCCUCACCUACCAAUAAUUAAGUACUUUGGGACCAUUCGGAGCUUUUGUAAUGAUUGGCCACCUUACUUUGUCGUUUCUUGCCCGGCGCUUUACAGCUAUGUGGAUAUCGAGUUCAAAUUGCUCUCUUAGUGACUGAGCCCUCACGAUGAAACCCAUGGGGGACUGGGGUUCCGCUCUAACAGAUGCUUGGUAAACCGCUGCCUCUAUCUCCCCAUGAUCAUGCUCCAAAAUGAAAUCAAAUACAGGUGUCCUAAGGAUACAGUCAGGAAGGGAUCUGUCCUUUGCGCUCCACAUUAUUUGUGGAGUUUUCCAUACAGUAAGGCACAGGAAUUCAUAAAUAAUGAGUUGGUAUGAUCAGCUGUAUGUGUCCUCUUUUAAUUUUACUUCACAACAAAAGGGAUCUGUUUAGACUAAAGUAGACGUCUUGGUAGAGAUUAUGCACAUUUGUAGUUUGUGCCUGACAUUUUUAUUUCAUAUUGAAUAUAUUACAAUGACAAACAAAAACAGACUAUAAUAUGACAAUUUAGCUUUGACAGAAAUUCAGUAUA